AUAACCUUUAAUUUAGUCCAGAGAGGCUGUCAAGGGAAAUCAAGAUUAACAGGCAGAGGUACAAUCUGCCCACUUUUUUGUGUAACCUUGCCAGUUAGUUGGUAAGGUUUUUUUUCAU
rfam:Streptococcus mutans TA159, complete genome.